CCAUACAAUGCGAUAAAUAUUAAAAUUUAAUGCUCUUAAUAAAAACCAAUCCAAAAACAUUUCUCGCAUACACACUUGCAAACGGCUAAUGUUAGAGAAGCUAGAAAAACAUCGAAAUAGAAUUCUUGUUCAUCGCCUUCUGACAUAGACAAUUUGGCAAAUGUGAUGUCCACGUUACUAUUGGUAUAUCCGGAUUCUUUUGCUGCAUUUAUAAUAUUAGAUGCUUUAAUCUGGAAAGCCGUAUAAUAUUGUGAGGUAUAAGACUGCUUAGGGGCUUAUUAUGAUCGUCAUCGAUAGUAACAUUCCAAGAUUUCAACUGAACAGCAUAUGCAUGCCACUUUGGAAGAUCCUCUUCAGUCUCGACAGCAGCUUCUUUCAAAUCAUGUUGGAGGCUGGAGGCUAGAUCAGAUCUUCCGAUGCUCUGACACACACCAGGAUGGCGAGAAUCGCUGUAUAAGCAAUGCGCAUCUUCAAAAAAUAUUGAAAUCGUACUAACGUUUCAAAUGCAUAUUUAUCAGCUUAUAUAGCAGGCACCGACUGAUCACGCAAUCACGAUCCG